GUGAUUUCUGCCCAGUGCUCUGAAUCUCAAAGUGAAGAAAUUCAACCAAGCGCGGGUAAAUGGCGGGAGUAACUAUGACUCUCUUAAGGUAGCCAAAUGCCUCGUCAUCUAAUUAGUGACGUGCAUGAAUGGAUUAACGAGAUUCCCACUGUCCCUGUCUACUAUCUAGCGAAACCACAGCCAAGGGAACGGGCUUGGCGAAAUCAGCGGGGAAAGAAGACCCUGUUGAGCUUGACUCUAGUCCGACUUUGUGAAAUGAC
rnacentral:rRNA from 1 species